ensembl:lincRNA
UUUUCAGUACAUUUUAUCAUACAAGAAUAAUCUUUUCUAAAUUUUACUUUAGGUUUUGAAACUAACAUGAACCUAACUGGACGGGAUGAUCCUAAUACAUCAGAAAUUGCUUCGGAGACUCAAGAUAGAAAUGCAAAUAACCAUGGAAUUCAAUUAUCUAAUUCACUAUCUAGUGCUAUUACUGCUGAAAAUGGAAAUUCCGUCUCAAAUGGCUCGCCUGAAGAGGACCGGUACUCACGGCUGAGUGUGAGUGGCACGGCCACGCCGUCGCUCCAGAGGCACCGGGACAGCCACACGACUCAGGUCAUCCAUCAGCUGAGGCUCUCGGAGAACGAGAGCGUGGCGCUGCAGGAGCUCCUCCAGUGGAGGCGCAAGCUGUGCGAGGAGAGAGGAGACUGGCAGCAGGCCCUGCCCCACAGCGAGCCCAGGGCGCCUCCGCCGCCUCCCUGCAAGAAGCCCACUCUGCUGAAGAAGCCCGAAGGGGCCUCCUGCAACAGGCUGCCCUCUGAGCUCUGGGACACCACCAUCUGAUGGCCCUAGAGGCUGCCUAGUGAAUCCAGGAGCGUCCAGGCAGCUGCCUUCCCACCGACUCGCUGGGUCUUCCCUCUGCGCAUUCACACGAAAAAGCACAGGACAUUGACACUGGCUAGACAAGACUUCCUGUGUGUGUGUGUGUGUGUGUGUGUGUGUGUCCUCGUUCUUUCUUAUCCAUUUUGUGGUAACACACUCUGAUUUUCGGGAUCCACGUCUAUAGGGUGCACUGCCCCUGGAAAAGGACAGAAAGGCUGAGGAGAGCGGGGGUGAGCGGAGGGUGCAGACAGCAGUGUGGGAAGCAGAGCUGCUUGACUGUGCGCUGUGUCCCUUCAGCCCCAGACACGGCCUCUGUCCUCAUGAGCACCGGCCGAGGUGCAGUGCACAGGACACACCUUUCGUUUCUUUGUAGGUGCGUGUGUGUUAUUGGAAUUUCAAACCUGGUAAUUAUUUACAUGUUUAUUAUUGUAUUUUAUAACUUUCUGAAAAUGGUGGUGCUCCCUUUCUUCAAAAAUACAGAUUUUAAAAGGUCAUUUCUAGUUUUUUUUUUUUUUUUCCCUCCACACACCUUUUUUUUAACCGAAAGCACCUGGAACCCUUGAAACGGUCGCUUUGGCUUUGCCGUGUCACCCUGCAGAAGCCUGGGCGAGUCCAGGUCCAGCUCCCCUCUGUGAAGAGGACGCAGUCCUGCACUGUGUUUUGGGUAAGCGGCUUGUGCACCCCCUGGUUGAACCCCACCCCCCAUACCAGCUUUGGCAUAGGCUACAGGCAGUUCGUGGCACUCAGACUCAUGGCUGGUGGUGCACAAAAGGUGUGGAUGAGCAGACGGAGCCACGCUGCUUCCCGCAGCCACAUUGCAUUGCAAGACGCCCGCGAGCCACGUUGCAUGCCUCGCUUGCUGUGUCCCUCACCUGCUGUGACGCAAGCCUUGUCCCCCUGUGCUUCCGCCGGCUGUCGGGAAAUUCUGGGCAGUGCCCGGACCCCUCUGUCUUGCUACACGGGCCUUUUAUCCAUACCAGCCUUUGAAAAGUUACUGUGCCAAUAAAAGGGUCAACUGUGUUCUGCGUUUACUUAUU